rnacentral:tRNA from 1 species
GUUUAGAUAGCUCAGUAGGAAAGAGCAUAGAACUGAAAAUUCUAAAGUCAUGAGUUCGAAUCUCAUUCUGAACA